rnacentral:rRNA from 1 species
AGUGAACGCUGGCGGUAGGCCUAACACAUGCAAGUCGAACGGCAGCACAGUAAGAGCUUGCUCUUACGGGUGGCGAGUGGCGGACGGGUGAGGAAUACAUCGGAAUCUACUUUUUCGUGGGGGAUAACGUAGGGAAACUUACGCUAAUACCGCAUACGACCUACGGGUGAAAGCAGGGGAUCUUCGGACCUUGCGCGAUUGAAUGAGCCGAUGUCGGAUUAGCUAGUUGGCGGGGUAAAGGCCCACCAAGGCGACGAUCCGUAGCUGGUCUGAGAGGAUGAUCAGCCACACUGGAACUGAGACACGGUCCCGACUCCUACGGGAGGCAGCAGUGGGGAAUAUUGGACAAUGGGCGCAGGCCUGAUCCAGCCAUACCGCGUGGGUGAAGAAGGCCUUCGGGUUGUAAAGCCCUUUUGUUGGGAAAGAAAAGCAGCAGGUUAAUACCCCGCUGUUCUGACGGUACCCAAAGAAUAAGCACCGGCUAACUUCGUG